rnacentral:rRNA from 1 species
UACGUAGGGUGCGAGCGUUGUCCGGGAUUACUGGGCGUAAAGAGCUCGUAGGUGGUUUGUCGCGUCGUUUGUGUAAGUCCACGGCUUAACUGUGGGAUGGCAGGCGAUACGGGCAUAACUUGAGUGCUGUAGGGGAGACUGGAAUUCCUGGUGUAGCGGUGAAAUGCGCAGAUAUCAGGAGGAACACCGAUGGCGAAGGCAGGUCUCUGGGCAGUAACUGACGCUGAGGAGCGAAAGCAUGGGUAGCGAACAGG